GAUGAACGCUAGCUACAGGCUUAACACAUGCAAGUCGAGGGGCGGCACAGAGUGGCAACACUUGGGUGGCGACCGGCGCACGGGUGAGUAACACGUAUCCAACCUGUCCCAUACUCGGGGAUAGCCUUUCGAAAGAAGAUUAAUACCCGAUGGUAUCAGAUUAAGGCAUCUUGAUUUGAUUAAAGAGAUUCGGUAUGGGGUGGGGAUGCGUUCCAUUAGCUUGUUGGCGGGGUAACGGCCCA
rnacentral:rRNA from 1 species